CUCUUAUUGAGAGCGGCGGAGGGACUAGGCCCUAUGAAGCCCGGCAACCUUCAGGCAAUUUGCCUGAAACGGUGCUAAAUCCUGCAGGUGUGAUAAGCCUGAGAGAUAAGAG
rnacentral:ncRNA from 1 species